GAUGAACGCUGGCGGCGUGCCUAAUACAUGCAAGUCGAGCGAACAGACGAGGAUCUUGCUCCUCUGACGUUAGCGGCGGACGGGUGAGUAACACGUGGAUAACCUUCCUAUAAGACUUGGAUACCUUCGGGAAACCGGAACUAAUACCGGAUAAUAUAUUGAACCGCAUGGUUCAAUAGUGAAAGACGGUUUUGCUGUCACUUAUAGAUGUAUCCGCGCCGCAUUAGCUAAUUGGUAAGGUAACGGCUUACCAAGUCAACGAUGCGUAGCCGACCUGAGAGGGUGAUCGGCCACACUGGAACUGAGACACGGUCCAGAGUCCUACGGGAGGCAGCAGUAGGGAAUCUUCCGCAAUGGGCGAAAGCCUGACGGAGCAACGCCGCGUGAGUGAUGAAGGUCUUCGGAUCGUAAAACUCUGUUAUUAGGGAAGAACAAAUGUGUAAGUAACUAUGCACGUCUUGACGGUACCUAAUCAGAAAGCCACGGCUAACUACGUG
rnacentral:rRNA from 1 species